rnacentral:rRNA from 1 species
GACGAACCGUGCGAACGUUGUUCGGAAUCACUGGGCUUAAAGGGCGCGUAGGCGGGUGUGCAAGUCUGCGGUGAAAGGCCUCCAGCUUAACUGGAGAAGUGCCGUGGAUACUGCAUAUCUUGAGGAGGGUAGGGGCAUCUGGAACAUUGGGUGGAGCGGUGAAAUGCGUUGAUAUCCAAUGGAACACCGGUGGCGAAGGCGGGUCUCUGGGCAGUAACUGACGCUGGAGGAGCGAAAGCGUGGGGAGCGAACAGG